rnacentral:rRNA from 1 species
GUCAACGGCUACGCUACGUUGAAACUUGAAAGCACCAGUUCCCGUUCGCUCACUGAAGUUGAGCAACGUUGGGCACGGUCGGACCUCGGUUGAGUUCCCGCCGUGUGCUGUUGUCC